CUAAAAGGAUAAUAGGAGAGAAGGUGGGGCUCUGUGUGGCCUGAGGAGGAGGAAUUCAUUCUUUCAUUCAGCUCCGAGAUCCCAGUCUUGUCGGAGGCAGAGCCUCUGCCCUCAGACACUAGAGGACACAUUCUCACAACACACCUCACACACACUCACAUAAACAGCACCCUGUGGUCCAGGUGACGUAUCUGCAGAGGUGAGACUGAGCGCCCAGCUGCACAGAGGAAGCGUGGCUGGCUGGCUGCCUGGCUGCCAGAAACUUAACCUUCUGGAAGUUCUGGAGACUAGGAAGUCCAAGAUCCAGGUGCCGGUCAAUUUGGUUUCUGGUGAAGAAUCUUCCUGGUUUGCAAAUGGCUGCUUUCUAUGUCCUCACAUGCAAGGAGAGAAAAAAAGAUCUCUUCCUCUUCUGGUAAGGGCACUAAUCUCAUCAUGAGGACCCUACCUUCAUGACCUCAUCUAAUUAAUUACCUCCUAAAGGCCCCACCUCCAAAUACCAUCACACUGGGGCUUAGAGCUUCAGUAUAAGAAUUUGGGGAGGUAUACAGACAUUCAGUCCACAACAGUGGAGGAAAGACUUUGGACUUCAUUCUGAGAAGGAAAGCCAAAACGGGGAAAGUGUAUUAAAGUGACGUCCAAAGAACAGCUGGAAACAGAUCUGGGACUACAGCGAGGCCUGAGGUAGAGACAGGCUUAGGGGUUAGGUUUAGAUGGUGACUGAAGCCAUGGGUGUGAGUAAAAUUGCUCAGGGAGGGAGUAUAAACAAAGGGCCAUGUCAGGAAGGGAAGGAUAUCUCAGGAGCAGCUGAGGGUCCUGGGUGAGGGGAAGGGGGUAGAGUGAGGAUAGAACAGAGCCUGGGGUCCUGCAAAAUUAGAAGUGAGAUGAGAGGCUAAGAACUGCAGACUGGCUGUUCAGAUGUCACCUCCAGGAACAGUAGGUAAGGCCCUUUAUGGAGCAGGACUUUGAGUGGACAUAGCUACAUGCAGAUCCCGCACUGGGGGGCCAAGUGCUAUCAUUUAGGCGGACCAGUGGAGGUGAGAAAAGUGACACCAUGGAGCAGGCCCUACAGGAAAGGCAUCAUUGUAAGUGCUACCUUAGGCAUAAUAUCUCAUCUCCUUAAAGCCACCUUCGUCACCCAUCCACCUCAUAUUGGCAUGGUUAUCCUCAUUUUACCGUGUAAGAACUGAAGCUCAGAGGUUAGGUAACUUAUUGAAGUUCACACAGCUGCUUAGAGACAGGCCUAGAAUCAAGGCCCCAUCCAUUUUUACUCCAAGCCUGUGUUCUGCUCAUUAUACUACACUGCCUAGGGGCAAAAAAUGACCUGAGAUGCUAUGGGAGGAUUCUAGAGCAUACUAAAAUGCCUAGCAUUUUAGAGCUGAAUCCUAGCUGCAGUGGGUAGGGAGUGAAGAUGUUAAGGAAAUUCAGGUUGUGAAUGUAGACCACUUAAAAACUUGGCUGGGAAGGAAAGGGGACCAGAGAAGGUGUGGGAACAACUUGAGCUUGCAAAGGUCAGAGCAAAACUUUGGUGGUAGGUGUGAUUAGGAGGAAGAGGUGAUGUCCCAUUGAGGGGGCAAAGCUGAUGAGGCAGAUGAGUUCAGCUGGAUUAGGGAGCAAGAAGGGAGCGCAGAAGGCAUCUCUAAAAAGGUAGUUGGAGGGGGCCUGGGUGGCUCAGUCCGUUAAGCCGUUCAGCUCUCAAUCUCAGCUCAGGUCUUGAUUUCAGGGGUGUGAGUUCAGGCUCCAUGUUGGCCUCCACACUGGACAUGGAGCCUACGUUAAAAAUAAUAAUAAAUUAAAUAGAAAGGUAGUUAGAGUCUGAGUGGAAAGUCCUGAAUGCCAUGUUGAGGCAUUUAAACUGUGAUCUGGCAAACAGCUGGGAGCCACAAAAGGGAUGCCUCAUAUUGACCAUGGCAACUGCUGAAAUUUAGCCUAGCAAUCAGUGCCAGUGUUGGAGAGAAAAGGGCAGUUGACACGGAAGAACAUACUAAUGCGGGCAGAAAAAGAAAGGAAGAGAUAAAUGUGAGAACGAUUUUGGAGGAAAAAGCAGAAGUAGUGACUGAUAAUUGAUAAUAGGACCCAGGGAAACAGUUGGAAGCCAAGGGCCAGAUUUCAAGCCUGAGCGGCUGGAGGGAAAGAUGUUUCGUAGGUUUUAGGAGUAUUGAAAUUUCCGGAAAUGGUUGCUCAUCAAAGUAAAAAUGUACAGCAGAUAAUAGGAAGGUGAUGCUGGAGCUCAAGAUGGGGAUGAAGUACAGGGUCGACACCCUUAAAACAGAGAAGCAGGUGGGGGGCCUGCUCAACAACACGAAAGAGAGCUUCGGAGAAGCCCCAGCAGGCGUCCUCCGGGAACAGGACAGACAAGAAGAGGCCUGGUUUGCUUCACUCCAAGUAGCUUUUAGGAAGGAAACGCAAACUGAAGGACUUUCGGUCCGUCGCCAUUCAAAAGCAAAGUCCGUUCUCAUUUUGAGUGCUUUCGUGGCAUUUUGCAUAUCUCAUGGAUUCCCCUCUGCACCCAAGAGAGGUGGGUCACGCCUCCACGUUCCGAGCGGGGGAAGGCCAGCCUCAAACACCUGCCCAGAGUCACACAGCUAGGAAAGGGCGGAGCCGCCCGGAAGUUCUGCUCGGGCUUAACUCGCUCCCAGGCGGGGUGGGGUGGAGGGGGUCGCGCGAAUGCGCUGGGCCAGGCCCUCUCCCUGCCGUCCGCUCGGGAGGGAAAACCGCCUCGAGAACCACGGACCCACACAACCUACCGCGAGGGCGCUGCCGCCGGCCCAAUCAGCGUCCGCUCCGGGUGCCUCCCAACAAACGGCCCGCUGAUUGGCUUCUUCUGCCAUCCGCCGCGCUGCCCUGGCAACCAGGCGACCGGACGCGGGGGCCGAGCAUCCAGGCCUCUGGCUACCAGCCCCGUGGCCCUUCGCCUGCCCCGCCGGCAUCCGACACCAUGUCGGUGCGGACACUACCGCUGCUCUUCUUGAACUUGGGCGGGGAGAUGCUUUACAUCCUGGACCAGCGGCUGCGGGCCCAGAACAUCCCGGGAGACAAGGCCCGCAAAGUUCUGAAUGACAUCAUCUCAACCAUGUUCAAUCGAAAGUUUAUGGAGGAAUUGUUCAAACCCCAAGAGCUCUACUCCAAGAAGGCCCUGAGGACUGUCUACGACCGCCUGGCUCAUGCCUCCAUUAUGAGGCUGAACCAGGCCAGCAUGGAUAAGCUCUAUGACCUGAUGACUAUGGCUUUCAAAUACCAAGUACUGCUGUGUCCCCGCCCCAAGGAUGUAUUGCUGGUCACUUUCAAUCAUUUAGACGCCAUCAAGGGUUUCAUCCAAGACUCCCCAGCCAUCCAGCAUCAGGUGGAGGAGACUUUCCGGCAGCUGACUGAAGUAUACGGAGGACUCCCUGCAGGCGAGUUCCAGCUGAUUCGCCAGACCCUCCUCAUCUUCUUCCAGGACCUGCACAUCCGGGUAUCCAUAUUUCUAAAGGACAAAGUCCAGAAUUCUAAUGGUCGCUUUGUGUUGCCAGUGUCCGGGCCCGUUCCCUGGGGAACUGAAGUUCCUGGACUCAUCAGAAUGUUCAACGACAAAGGCAAAGAAGUGAAGAAGGUAGAGUUCAAGCACGGUGGGCACUAUGUCACUGCACCAAAAGAAGGUUCUUUUGAACUUUAUGGAGACCGAGUCCUGAAACUGGGAACCAAUAUAUACAGUGCAUGCAGAGCCCUGACAUUUUCAGAGGGCCCCCAACAUUUCCAAACAUAAGGCAACUCACCAGGCUGAAAAGAUAAGUCAUUGUAAAUAGCCACGGAAGAGAACCAGCCCAAACCCAUGUCGCAGUGGAGGUCAGAAAGGUACAGUAUGAACCGGCCCGUGGAAACCCACACGUCUGGAGCAUCCAAAAGCUUAGCUUCCCGGACACAGGAAAGCAUUGCUCCAAACCCUCUUGCUAAAGAAGAGCUGAAUUUCUUGGCCAGGCUGAUGGGAGGAAUGGAG